GACGAACGCUGGCGGCGUGCUUAACACAUGCAAGUCGAACGGAAAGGCCCUGCUUUUGUGGGGUGCUCGAGUGGCGAACGGGUGAGUAACACGUGAGUAACCUGCCCUUGACUUUGGGAUAACUUCAGGAAACUGGGGCUAAUCCCGGAUAGGAGCUCCUGCUGCAUGGUGGGGGUUGGAAAGUUUCGGCGGUUGGGGAUGGACUCGCGGCUUAUCAGCUUGUUGGUGGGGUAGUGGCUUACCAAGGCUUGGACGGGUAGCCGGCCUGAGAGGGUGACCGGCCACAUUGGGACUGAGAUACGGCCCAGACUCCUACGGGAGGCAGCAGUGGGGAAUAUUGCACAAUGGGCGGAAGCCUGAUGCAGCAACGCCGCGUGCGGGAUGACGGCCUUCGGGUUGUAAACCGCUUUCGCCUGUGACGAAGCGUGAGUGACGGUAAUGGGUAAAGAAGCACCGGCUAACUACGUG
rnacentral:rRNA from 1 species